GGGGAAUAUUGCGCAAUGGACGAAAGUCUGACGCAGCGACGCCGCGCGAGGGACGAAGGUCUUCGGAUCGUAAACCUCUGUCAGAGGGGAAGAAGUGUAGUGGCAGUAACUGGCCAUUACUUGACGGUACCCUCAAAGGAAGCACCGGCUAACUCCGUGCCAGCAGCCGCGGUAAUACGGAGGGUGCGAGCGUUAAUCGGAAUUACUGGGCGUAAAGCGCGCGUAGGCGGCUUUGUAAGUCAGGGGUGAAAGCCCACGGCUCAACCGUGGCAUUGCCUUUGAUACUGCAGAGCUUGAGUUCGGGAGAGGGUGGUGGAAUUCCAGGUGUAGGAGUGAAAUCCGUAGAGAUCUGGAGGAACAUCAGUGGCGAAGGCGACCACCUGGCCCGAUACUGACGCUGAGGUGCGAGAGCGUGGGUAGCAAAC
rnacentral:rRNA from 1 species